UUGUUUUUUUUUGUUAUAUUUUGAGGGGGAAAAAAUCAAAUUAAAAUUCUCUUGUUGAAUUUCAUAAUUUUCUACAAUGUCCUUGAGUGUGUGAGGCAUCAGUCUUAAUCUGUAAGAGUAAACUGUCAGAGUGUAGCCUUAGGACCCUGAGGAUAUUGGACCAAGGUUGCUGCAGAGAUAGGUUUGUGAUUUGUAUGCACCCCAUCUGAUAGCGUCUCCUGGAUCACAGAUGGAUUAUUUAGGUUCUUCCUCCGGCAGAAGCUUCUUCUCUUGACCCUCCCUGGCUUUUUCUUUUUUCUUUUCUUUUUCUUUUUUUUUUACAGGUCUACAAUGUAUUUUCUUUUUUCUUUCUGUUUCAUUGUUGGGUACUUGGGUGCCUCAGAAGCACACAGUUGCAGAGAUUUGACUGUGCCAGAGAAGAUGGAAGAGUAAUACUAGAGGAAUAACCCUGAGGGAUUUAUUGAGGCCUUCCUAAAGGCACUCUGGGCUGUUUGGGACUAUGCUGCCUGUUCAAGCAUUCCUUUUCAUCAGCCUGCUCUGUGUCAUCCAGCUGCAGCAGGGCCAUGGCAUGGACAUUUCAUCAGAUACAGACAAAUACAGAGAAAGCACCGAGACCAUCAGCCAAACACCUGAACCAGAGAAUGAACAAGACAACAGCCUGGGAUACAAAGG
ensembl:lncRNA